UUGUAAUUAUUUUUGAAAAAAUACUGUGUUUUGAGCAAAAUGAAACUACUAACGUGUACAAUUCUGAUCCACAAAUCUCUUUUCACAUGUGGCCACAUUUCUUUACAUAUCUUUCUUUGAGAAUAUGCAUUGAUAAAGGAUUUUUUUUCAAGAUCCAGAAAUGAUUUUUCUUUUAAAUUCGGAUAUGAAAUGUAAAAUGCAUUAAAGAAAUAAAUUAUCAGUUAAAAACCGGGGGUCACCGAUCUUUUUAGGGAAUUGUGGCAUUAAAACGUGAAAUACAAGUAAAUAAAUAUACUACAGACACA